rnacentral:lncRNA from 1 species
CCCGGGGCCAAGCCGAGCCCCCGGGGCAGGCCGAGCCCCCGAGGCAGGCCGAGCCCCCGGGGCAUCCCGCGGGAGGCACAGAACGCCCGGGCAACUGCGCGCACGGGGCGGCGGCGGAGAGGUGAUUCCAGAGGUUUCCCUGAACCGACCUCUGAGAAAAUCCCUUCGCGGGAGCGACAGCUGCUCCCACGCUCCUGUUGUAACUUGGGUUUGGUUUGGUUUGGUUUUUUUUAAACCCCCUUUGUUUAAAAAUAUCCCAAGUCCAAACAGUAUUCGUUGUCGCAAACUCCAUGGGCAUGUUUACAGCGAAGUGUUACCAACGCUCACAUCGAAACGCCAGCAGUGACAACUGGAAAUCCCCCAAAUACAGGAAUAGCCCCAGAUAAGGUGCUGGGUUUUCACUUGCGCUUGAAAUUUGCAGCGUGAUCUUGUAAUGUUUUAUGUGUCUCAGCCUCUGCUUUUAUUCAGAGUUUGAAAACAUGAUUGAAACGUGCUUUAAAAUUGUUUCCAGAUGUUUUAUUUUUUUAAAAAAAGAGGGGAAAGGGGAAAAAAUAUUGUAGACACUCCAAUAAUCAAUAAAUCAGCAAUAACCUUUGCUGAAACCCAGAAAUCUGCUUUUUCCCAGUAAAGCUUGUUCCUGUUACAUAAAUGCUUUCAUGUCACCCCAGGACAGCAGCAUUUCUCCUGAAUAAAGGAAAAUCCUCUGUGAUUCUGUUAAAACCUGUGAUGACUUUUGCAGUGUCAUUUCUCCAAGAAGAUCCUGCCUGGCACCUCACAAAAGCGUCUGUCACAGGUACAAGUGCCCUUACACAGGGAAGAUUGAAGUACAGACUCUUCUGCAGCAGGACUGCACAAAAGCUAGGACAAAGACAUCAAUUCAAUAUUGGAAUGGCCAACAUGGAGAUAAGAAGACAGUUUUCUUCCCCAUGGUUUUGCCAUGAAAGGAUUUAUGCAGCACUUACUGUUCUUAUUGAGGACUGGCCUGAGUCUGUCUUGCAUAUGCUUUUAUGGCUUUUUUGCUUUUUUGCAUUACUCAGUGGAUGUUGGCAAUAAGGUUGCACUUUCUGAGUGGUCAAAUUUGUUAAUAUUAAUAGCUAAUGAUACUAAAAGCUGUUGUGCACUGCUGUGAUCAUAUUAGCUUUCCAAGCAAAACUUCCCUGAACAGAAAUAGCAGUGUGCUGGUCUGUCCUAGAUCAAAACAGCCAUCAGGCUUCCAUUUAAAAAUUCACUGAUUCUGCAUCUGUAUUCUAGUCUGGUUCAAGGCAAAGAACACUGUGUACAUUAGCAUUGCACAAGUUAGUAAUUGUUCUCGAACAUUAUGAGUUUCCGUAGAGACUGUUGGAAUUAGAUCUAUUGCUUUUCAUAGGAGAAAAACCAGGUCUAUUCAAAAAACUGCAAGGAAACUAACAGGAAAAUACUUUAAAAAGAGAUGAGAAUAUAAAAUCUUGAGAAUAUAUCCCCAUUUAUCAUAACAUCUUUC